UAACUUCGCGAAAGCGAGGCUAAUACCGGAUAUUGUCCCAGGGACCUAGGUCCUUGUGAUGAAAGAUGACCUCUUCACGAAAGUUGUCGUUCAGGGAGGGGCCCGCGUACCAUUAGCUAGUUGGUAGGGUAAUGGCCUACCAAGGCGAAGAUGGUUAGCUGGUCUGAGAGGAUGACCAGCCACACUGGCACUGAAACACGGGCAGACUCCUACGGGAGGCAGCAGUGAGGAAUUUUGCGCAAUAGGGGAAACCCUGACGCAGCAACGCCGCGUGAGUGAAGAAGGCCCUCGGGUCGUAAAGCUCUGUCAAGUGGGAAAAAAGCUUACUGGUAAAUAGCCAGCAAGACUGAUGGUACCAUUGAAGGAAGCACCGGCUAACUCCGUCCCAGCAGCCGCGGUAAUACGGAGGGUGCAAGCGUUGUUCGGAAUUACUGGGCGUAAAGGGCGUGUAGGCGGUGUGGUAAGUCAGAUGUGAAAGCCCUGGGCUUAACCCAGGAAGUGCAUUUGAAACUGCCAUGCUUGAGUAUGGGAGAGGAGAGUGGAAUUCCCAGUGUAGAGGUGAAAUUCGUAGAUAUUGGGAGGAACACCCGUGGCGAAGGCGACUCUCUGGACCAAUACUGACGCUGAGGCGCGAAAGCGUGGGGAGCAAACAGGAUUAGAUACCCUGGUAGUCCACGCUGUAAACGAUGAGCACUAGGUGUAGCGGGUAUUGACCCCUGCUGUGCCGUAGCUAACGCAUUAAGUGCUCCGCCUGGGGAGUACGGCCGCAAGGCUAAAACUCAAUGAAUUGACGGGGGCCCGCACAAGCGGUGGAGCAUGUGGUUCAAUUCGACGCAACGCGAAGAACCUUACCUGGAUUUGACAUCCUUUGACAGCUCCGGAAACGGAGUCUUCCCUGCUUGCAGGGACAGAGUGACAGGUGCUGCAUGGCCGUCGUCAGCUCGUGUCGUGAGAUGUUGGGUUAAGUCCCGCAACGAGCGCAACCCCUCUCUCUAGUUGCCCGUAUUCAGUUAGGCACUCUAGAGAUACUGCCUCGGUUAACGGGGAGGAAGGUGGGGACGACGUCAAGUCCUCAUGGCCUUUAUAUCCAGGGCUACACACGUGCUACAAUGGACGGUACAAAGGGUUGCUAGUCCGCGAGGAGGAGCUAAUCCCAAAAAGCCGUUCUCAGUUCGGAUCGGAGUCUGCAACUCGACUCUGUGAAGUUGGAAUCGCUAGUAAUCGUGGAUCAGCAUGCCACGGUGAAUACGUUCCCGGGCCUUGUACACACCGCCCGUCACACCACGAAAGUUGGCUGUACCAGAAGUUGCCGGGCUGACCCCGCAAGGGGGGGCAGGCACCUAAGGUACGGUUGAUGAUUGGGGUGAAGUCGUAACAAGGUA
rnacentral:rRNA from 1 species